UACGUAGGUGGUAAGCGUUGUCCGGAUUUAUUGGGUUUAAAGGGUGCGUAGGCGGUUUUCUAAGUCAGCAGUGAAAUACGGCAGCUCAACUGUCGAGGUGCUGUUGAUACUGGGGAACUUGAGUACUGAUGAGGUAGGCGGAAUGGACGGUGUAGCGGUGAAAUGCUUAGAGAUCGUCCAGAACACCGAUAGCGAAGGCAGCUUACUAAGGAGUAACUGACGCUGAGGCACGAAAGUGUGGGGAUCAAACAGG
rnacentral:rRNA from 1 species